GAUGAACGCUGGCGGCGUGCCUAAUACAUGCAAGUCGAGCGAACAGAUGAGGAGCUUGCUCCUCUGACGUUAGCGGCGGACGGGUGAGUAACACGUGGAUAACCUACCUAUAAGACUGGGAUAACUUCGGGAAACCGGAGCUAAUACCGGAUAAUAUAUUGAACCGCAUGGUUCAAUAGUGAAAGACGGUUUUGCUGUCACUUAUAGAUGGAUCCGCGCCGCAUUAGCUAGUUGGUAAGGUAACGGCUUACCAAGGCAACGAUGCGUAGCCGACCUGAGAGGGUGAUCGGCCACACUGGAACUGAGACACGGUCUAGACUCCUACGGGAGGCAGCAGUAGGGAAUCUUCCGCAAUGGGCGAAAGCCUGACGGAGCAAUGCCGCGUGAGUGAUGAAGGUCUUCGGAUCGUAAAACUCUGUUAUUAGGGAAGAACAAAUGUGUAAGUAACUAUGCACGUCUUGACGGUACCUAAUCAGAAAGCCACGGCUAACUACGUG
rnacentral:rRNA from 1 species